GCUCAGAUUGAACGCUGGCGGCAGGCCUAACACAUGCAAGUCGAGCGGUAACACAAGGGAGCUUGCUCCUGAGGUGACGAGCGGCGGACGGGUGAGUAAUGCCUAGGGAUCUGCCCAGUCGAGGGGGAUAACAGUUGGAAACGACUGCUAAUACCGCAUACGCCCUACGGGGGAAAGGAGGGGACCUUCGGGCCUUCCGCGAUUGGAUGAACCUAGGUGGGAUUAGCUAGUUGGUGAGGUAAUGGCUCACCAAGGCGACGAUCCCUAGCUGUUCUGAGAGGAUGAUCAGCCACACUGGGACUGAGACACGGCCCAGACUCCUACGGGAGGCAGCAGUGGGGAAUAUUGCACAAUGGGGGAAACCCUGAUGCAGCCAUGCCGCGUGUGUGAAGAAGGCCUUCGGGUUGUAAAGCACUUUCAGUAGGGAGGAAAGGUAAUAGUUUAAUAAACUAUUACUGUGACGUUACCUACAGAAGAA
rnacentral:rRNA from 1 species